GAGAAAAACGUUCGGAUUCGGGUUUUCCCCUGUCGCAUGGAAAGUGCAGCGCUCCAUCUCCCCUACCAAACCACCACGGCCGGCCCUCUCCGUGCUGCAGGCCGCCGCCAUCCCUUCUGUACUCCGGCGGCUGCUCCUAUCGUGAGAAACCUUUCUUCAUGCCCUCAGCGCUGAUGUCGCAGCAGACCCUUCUUGAGCAAAGGAGCACCUCAGCGGUGAGGCAAGCGGCGGCAAGGCGGUACCCCUUCUGACCUUCUCCCCUUGCUCUCAGGGUCGACUCCAUGGCAGAUGCGUCCGGCAACAAGGAGCGCCUCGGGUAUGACACUAACGUGAUAAGACGGUGAGCGAUCUCUCCCCAUUUCUUUCUGUCAGCUUUUGCUUGAGACCGUGCAGCUUCCCAGCGGUGCCUCGCCUCUUCUCCGAAUUGGGCAGUAGUGCGCAGCUGCUGCACCUUCCUAUCCAGAUACCCCGUUGCAGCAAACCUGCGUGUUGCUAGUGAUUACUCCCUCGGGCCCAUUUUUUUAGCGUUUUUUGAGCAUAGAUACCUUCAUAUUUGGGCAAAAAUUUGAGUCACUUGAUAUGGGACGGAGGGAGUAUAUUUUUGUUAGGAUCACUGAGCAAGCAGGGAAGCGGAAAUCUCCCAGGUCCAUUUUUAUGUUCUUGGUGUGCAGUUAUAUAUUUGACUCAUCGCUUCUCUUUACGACUUGAAAUAUUAGCGCUUCACAAAACCUGGAUAUAAUUAGUUGUGCAUUUUUUUUCCGACAUGGUGCUGCAUCUGCAUCCUCUACUUGUAAUCAUUUAUUAAUAUGAUAUUUCACAGUUUCACAAGUUCAAACGAAGGUUAUUUUUCUUGACGGUUGCGCCAAAGGAUUAUCCUGAGUGUAUUAAGAACUGAUAGAUAAAAUUGGGAAACCGGGAUGCAAACUGCAAAACUAUACUUGUGCAGGUACAUUUGAGUAUUCGCAUAUCCCAUUUUUUUUCUUACACAAUGUUUGCAUACCAUCAGCUUCAGAUUUCUUCUUAGCUUCUGAUAUGCAAAUUUGAUCCCCAGUAUCAGAUUGGCUUGCCUUUCUUAACAGAUACUCCCUCCGAUAAAUAAAUUACGACUAAUAUGUUUUGAACUAAAACAACAAUAAGAAUUUAGUGAGAAUUUAAGAUCGGAGGGAGUAUCUGCGUGUUGUUACUACCUAUGUCGCCGGUGUGGAAGGUGCAAUAUCCCAACCCUAUAGUUGAUGAUCAGUGGAGAUAUGCAACAGACAACACAUGUUUUAUUAGGUUUCUGAGUAACAUCUGCUUAAUAAAUGCUCACUUCAUUUCA